rnacentral:rRNA from 1 species
UGCGUAGGUGGUUGUUUAAGUCUGUUGUGAAAGCCCGGGCUCAACCUGGGAAUGGCAAUGGAUACUGGACAGCUAGAGUGCGGGUAGAGGGGUAGUGGAAUUCCCGGUGUAGCAGUGAAAUGCGUAGAGAUCGGGAGGAACACCAGUGGCGAAGGCGGCUACCUGGACCAGCACUGACACUGAAGCACGAAAGCGUGGGAGCAAACA